CCUACGGGUGGCAGCAGUGGGGAAUUUUGGGCAAUGGACGCAACUCUGACCCAGCAAUGCCGCGUGAGUGAUGAAGGUCAUUUUAUUGUAAAGCUCUUUUCUUUGGAACGAAUAAAUCACGGUACCAACGGCAUCAGCCCCGGCUAACUACGUGCCAGCAGCCGCGGUAAUACGUAGGGGGCAAGCGUUGUUCGGAAUGACUGGGCGUAAAGGGUGUGUAGGUGGUUUGAUAAGUUGGAUGUGUAAUACCCAGGGCUUAACUCGGGUGCUGCAUCUAAAACUGUUAGACUUGAGUACUGGAGAGGAUAGUGGAAUGCCUAGGGUAGCGGUGGAAUGCGUAGAUAUUAGGAGGAACA
rnacentral:rRNA from 1 species